rnacentral:lncRNA from 1 species
ACUCCACGCACAGUAACGCCACCGCAAUCACUCCAGGCGCCAUGACUCCACCCCUGCCCCUUCCGUUUUUCCCCAAUCAAGGGCUCUACUUCAAUCCCCUGCAUUUCCCCCUAUUUAAAUCUCCUCUCCCCUUGCAGCUAGUUCUUUUCUCCUCCCCUCUACAAGCAGAUCCUGCCACAACCUAGGGCACCGUCGACGCAAGUCCUUCCGUCCGUCGCUGGACAGGUAAUCACCGUCCUCUGGAUCGCUGCAGUGCUCCCGUUUCAUUUUUGUCAUCACCCUACACACAGGAUUAUUCUAUCUCCGGCGAACACCUACACCUGAACUCACCUCUCUUCUUUUGUAGUCAGCCACUGGGUUAGUUUAGAAGGUUUAGUCCCUGGACCUGUUUAGGAUAGGCUACAGAAGCACUUAGGGCCCUUGUGUAGCGGUACUUGUUUUGUUCACCAAGAUUAUUGGCAGCUCUAAAUCUGCAGGUGUGUUUAUUGGUAGUUUUUUUUCAGUUUGGAACCGCUUUUAUUAUAUUCAUGGCAUCCUCUCUUUCUUUUUUUUUCUUCAGUCUGUACCUACAGCAUGAAGUUCAGAUUGUAUGGUGGAGCACCUGCACAUGUAGUUUAUUCCAAAUUUGGUCUCAACUGUUUUGCUAUUGCUCAAUGCUUCCAUCAAUGCAUAUUCUGUAAUUAUUUACCGUCAAGUUUCAGAUUUGUGUAGUUGGUAGAUACUUCACUGUAGGUUUCAGCAUACUAAUGUUUCUAGUUCAGUAGCACAUAUCAGGUUAGAAGCUGCAAGCUGAUUUGUUUCAUUAGCAUGAAUUUCUACAUGUAUGUAUGGAUUUUUCCUUCAUAUCCAGUGGAUGUAUACGGCUGUUUGUGAAUCUGUUACAGUGGUUGUACAGUCUCAGUUUAUCUCCUAUGCAGCGAAUACCAUAUUGAGGAUUAGUUCGGUCGUAUAUUUUGUCUCUCUCCCUGCUGUAUAUCAACUAAUUGUUGACUAAUUGUUUAGUUGAUGCACUGUUUCAUCUAGCAUGCAUAAUUGUUCAGUUGCUGCACUAUUGUUGUUUCACAUACAUGAGCUUUUCAGUGACUAAUACAGUUAGCAGGUUGUAUGUGCUUUGGUGCUAGCAAAUUCAGUUUUACUCUACUGUACUCAAUCUGAUACAUGUCACUGUACCUCCUGUGGUAGUAGAAAUGCAGUGUUGUUAUUCUUUUAGUUACAUGCUUGCCCAGUUUGCCAUAUAGAUUCUGCUAUACUAGUGCUUGUGCUAGAAAGGCAUAAUUGUGUUUGUAGCUUCAAAAUCAUCUUUCUGCUGUUUAAAUUAUAUUAGAGAAACCCUGUUCUUCCAUGCUUAGAGCUGUGUGUCAAUUAUUGAGUUUUGCAUACUGUUUGCAUCUUGCUUAGCUGAGAAAGAAACUAGUGUUUAAAUUGUUGGAUGCUUCACAUGCUUAGAGCAGUAGCUAUUCUACUCUCUUUUCCUUAGGGUAAGAUCAUGCUUGCUGUACUCUCGAGUGCUUAGAUUAAAUUGGAGCAUACAAGCUUGUGUAUUAAGGUUAUAUGGGAGGGUAUCAUUAUAUAUACUAUGGUUAAGGACACUAGGAGGCCAGCAUGAAGGAUUCUCUAGUUCCACACUCUCUUGAUAUUCCACGACUCGGAGACACACUCCGGGUAUCACCUUAUUCAUUCCAAAUUGGUUCAUGUGUUUAUCUCGCUUUCUUUCGGACUCUUCUUUUGGAUUCUUUAUUGGAGUUGUUUAUUUAUUUGGUGGCGAUUUAUUUUUACGACGAAUAGGGAGUGACGGGAACGACCACAACCAGGGCCACGAAGGAGAAGAACAGUACCCCGACAACGAAGGCAUGCCCCCUCUCUCUUUGAUCAUAUUUAUCCUAUGUUUUCAAAUGGGCAUUAGUUAGUUAUUUUAUUGUUUUAUAAACAUGCAUGCUAAUUAUUUCUUGUAGCUAGUGUGUCGAUUGACACUUGGCCAUGAACUGCUUGUCGCCGUUCCUUUGAUACCUGGAGUAGUUUAUAUAGUAUUCUUGUAGAGUAGAAAUGCUUAGCCUUGCUCAUAUUAUUCAUUAGGAAUCACUCUUUUGCCUCUUCGAGGAUUCUAUGUGAUCUUCGGAUCGAUGAUACAUUGUUGAAAGUUGUUGAGCUCGCUAAGCUGGAUGUUGUUCCCUCUUCUUGGAAUCCCCUUCUACUCUCUCUACCUACUCUGGGUGAAACUUACCAUACAACUGGUGCGGGCGGCAGCUGGAUCAUUGGUUGAAGGAGCAAUUGUUAGCCUCUGUGGGAGUAAUUAGCUGCCCGUAGCGGAUGAGGCCUAAUAAGUCUUGAAUCUGAAGAUUGUGACAACAGUGCGACCAUAUGCUAUAUGGGCUCUGGCUUGGUCAAGUACGCUAGUCAGCCUUAGGUGCCGAUGAUGCCGUACCGCAAAUGGGGUGUCACUUGAGAUGGGAGAACCCUCGGCACAGAUGGGGGGACCGAAGAUGGGGAAGUACUCUCAUUCCGUGCGCCAGACCCGGUGGGCUCGUCACAUCUUUGGGGGAGGUAGCUAAAAGACCUCGUCCCGGUCUCGAUGUCGAUACACUGAGGGGUGUGUUCACCAGUAGCGCAACUGGUUAGGCACAAGGCGAGAUCGUGUCGUGUGGGUACAGCGUACAACCUCUGCAGAGUGUAAAACUAUUCGAAUAGCCGUGUCCACGGUCAUGGACGGCACAUGAUUCUUUCUUGACAUACCGGACCUGUCUUCUUUCCCUUCCUUCCUCCCUCUCUAACUUCUUGCUGGAACUGAGGAUUUGGGUGAGUGGUCGAGGACCCUCACGUUGUUGGAUAAUGCUUUUGAGAUAAACUUGUUUUUAUCAAAACCGCCUUCAUCAAAAGUAUAGUUGUAUUUCAAACAAAACCGCUUUUAUGCAAAAGAACCAUAUAGCCUUCCUUUGACUCCAACAUGCAGUUAUCAGGGUUCCCAGAGGGGGCACGCUGAGUACGUAAUGUACUCAUGGCGAUGGUUUGUCGUUGUCAUUGUUGUACAGAGUACUAUGAAGAAGAAGACGUUGACGGCGACUACUACGGUGAACCUGAGAAGUGAGGCCUCGUGUGCUACAUUGACUGCCUGUGGCUGAGAUGGAGGCACCACGCGUCGCUUAUUGUUUUCCGCUGCUAUUUCAGACUUGUAAUAAUAAUGCCGCAAGACAUUGCUUUAUGUAAGUCGAAGGGCAUUUUACUAUUCAAACUUUGUAUUAACUUUUGAACUGUCGUGCAAUGAGAUACAUUUCGCAUGUACAUUAGCAUUCCUAGGCUAGUGUUACAUGGGGUCUGGCAAUUUGUUUCCCGGUUCUCACACAUUGUACAUGUAAUGGUUCUUUGAAUAAAGUUAUAGAUUGUUCUUAAAAAAAAA